rnacentral:rRNA from 1 species
GAUAAACGCUGGCGGCGUGCCUAACACAUGCAAGUCGAACGCUCUCGGGCAACCGAGAGAAGUGGCGGACGGGUGAGGAACACGUGGGUAUCUGCCUUUCGGUGAGGAAUACCGGCGAGAAAUCGCCGACAAUACCGCAUAUCCUUCUUUCGGGAAGGAAAGUCGCAAGACGCCGGAAGAUGAGCCUGCGCCCGAUUAGCUGGUUGGUGGGGUAAUGGCCUACCAAAGCGACGAUCGGUAGCUGGUCUGAGAGGACGAUCAGCCACACUGGGAUUGAGAACGGCCCAGACUCCUACUGGGGGGCAGCAGUGAGGAAUUUUCGUCAAUGGGGGCAACCCUGAACGAGCAACGCCGCGUGCAGGACGAAGGUCUUCGGAUCGUAAACUGCUUUUCUCUGGGACGAGAACGGACGGUACCAGAGGAAGAAGCCCCGGCUAACUACGUGCCAGCAGCCGCGGUAA